rnacentral:rRNA from 1 species
AUUGAACGCUGGCGGCAUGAUUUACACAUGCAAGUCGAACGGUAACAGGCCGCAAGGUGCUGACGAGUGGCGAACGGGUGAGUAAUGCAUCGGAACGUGCCCAGUCGUGGGGGAUAACUACUCGAAAGAGUAGCUAAUACCGCAUACGAUCUAUGGAUGAACGCGGGGGACCGUAAGGCCUCGCGCGAUUGGAGCGGCCGAUGUCAGAUUAGGUAGUUGGUGGGGUAAAGGCUCACCAAGCCAACGAUCUGUAGCUGGUCUGAGAGGACGACCAGCCACACUGGGACUGAGACACGGCCCAGACUCCUACGGGAGGCAGCAGUGGGGAAUUUUGGACAAUGGGCGCAAGCCUGAUCCAGCAAUGCCGCGUGCAGGAAGAAGGCCUUCGGGUUGUAAACUGCUUUUGUACGGAACGAAACGGCUCUGGUUAAUACCCGGGGCUAAUGACGGUACCGUAAGAAUAAGCACCGGCUAACUACGUG